GCGGGAGUAGCUCAAUGGUAGAGCAUCGGCUUCCCAAGCCGGUGGUUGCGGGUUCGAUCCCCGUCUCCCGCUCCA
rnacentral:tRNA from 1 species